AAGAAUUGGGAUUAGCAUGCAAACUUGAAAAAUUGAAGUUAUUAUACUAAGAAUCAGGAUUGGCGUGUAAUAUUAUAAGGGUAAAGACAAGAAAAAGGAAAGUAAAACAAAUAGCGAAAAGAAAAUGCAUCAAUAACCUUUGGUUUAUCCAAAAUAACAUGGUUUUUUAGGGUUUCUCGAUAAAUCAUGCAUUUACUUAUUGUCUGAAUGAAUAAUGUUCUAUAAGUAAAAUGAAGAUACCAAUGUGGAAAUUACUCAAUUUUAUUCAAUUUAUCAUGCAAUCCAUCGAGGAAGAAUGAUCUCCAGAAGAACAUCCGAGUUGUUAGAAUUUGAGACUUGGAACUUGAAAAUUUUAUCUUCGGUGAUGUUGCUAUCUCUUUUUGGGUUAACUAGACUAAAAACCCAUGGCCAAGAUUUUAAAUUGGUACUCAAACUUCAAUCCAUUCUAAUUGAGUCAUCAAAAUAUCAAUAUACUAUCAAUUAGAUUUUUCUUUCAGACUAGAAAUUAGUACACGCAAAUCAAAUUUUAAACAAGGGUCUAUUUAUUGCAUGGACAACUUAAAUUUUGAUGUGUUAAAAAUAGCCCUUUUAAAUUUUAACAAUGCUGUUUAUAUUUUUCUAGUGUAUUACAUACAAGUUGCUCAUGCAGUAGGUUCAAAUAUGUUUAAAAUUGAUCUCCAUGUGAAAUCUAAGCUAGAAUCUAAUCUCCAAAAUGACGACAAGGCGAAUAGAAAACUUGAUUGAUAUGAUAUUGGUACUUCGAAAAUUCAAUUAGAACUUUUCAAAGUUCAAGGACCAAUUUAAAACUUUUUUCUUUCAUGGAGCAUCCUCGCAAGUUGCAACAAUGCAGAUCUCAAUGCAUAACAAAAAAUGCUUUUUAGUUUUCUUUUAAAGAUGAGAGGAGGAAAGAAUUAGUCGGUGGAUGCAGGAUUUUCUGAAAUUAACAAAUUGACUUUUUACACCACCCAUCUCUUGUGAAUUGCUAAUGCAUCUUCACUAAAAAAUGUUUCCAUUUCUAAAUGUUUCUAUCUUUCCUCCCCCUUCCUUUUUUGGUUCAACUCUUGGUUUAAGCAUAUUGUGAUGGGAUAACAUGCUUGUUUUAUUAUAUAGGCUAUGGACCUUUCACUCUUUUAGGCAAUGAUGCUUCAAUCCUUAAAAGAUUUAGAUUCUGUGUAGUGGGAAAUAUGUUUGAAGAAAUUAGAAACCACUUUGCUAGAUAUUUAUGUGUUAAUAGUAACAACAAUCAGGUAUAAGGUUGAAAGAGAAUGCUUGACAUCGAAAUAGAAGAGGAAAAACAAAUUUGGAAAGAAGAGUUAGGUAUAAAUGAUGAUACAUCAAUUUAUUAUUGUGAUUUGGAUGAUUUCUAGGUAGGUUUUGUUGUGAGAAGGAACCAUGGAAAACUGGUAUAGCAUCAGACUAGGCCAUUUUAGUUAAAUGUUGCAUAUACUUUUUUCUUUCCAUGAACACA
rnacentral:lncRNA from 1 species